rnacentral:rRNA from 1 species
GUCUAUAAUCAUAAUAUCCGGAAUGUGCCCAAUCUUGUCUGGUCACAGAAACUAAAAGCAGGGUCAAGCCUAGUUAGAACUUGGAUAGAAGAAGCAUGGGAAUACCAGGUGCUGUGGGUG